GACGAACGCUGGCGGCGUGCCUAACACAUGCAAGUCGAGCGGAGGCACUCAAGGAGUAAUCUGAGGGUGUUUCAGCGGCGGACGGGUGAGUAACGCGUGAGCAACCUGCCUUUCACAAGGGGAUAAGGCGGCGAAAGCCGCUCUAAUACCGCAUGAGACCACGGUACUGAUGGUACAGAGGUCAAAGGAGCAAUCCGGUGAGAGAUGGGCUCGCGUCCGAUUAGGUAGUUGGUGAGGUAAAGGCCCACCAAGCCAAUGAUCGGUAGCCGGCCUGAGAGGGUGAACGGCCACAUUGGAACUGAGAAACGGUCCAAACUCCUACGGGAGGCAG
rnacentral:rRNA from 1 species